GUUGAUUUAAAGAUUAUCUAAAGGAAAAUAUCAAGUAAGUAGCCAGAAAUAGGGAUGUGGUUCAGGGAUGUGGCAAUGAUUCUGCAAGUGUUAUCUGAGUGACCUGAGUUUGGGAAACGCAGAACAAGGCCAAUCUCUGGGAUGCAGAGAGGGUAAGUGAGUUGUUUGAGGUCAGGAAGCCAGCAGAGAACAUAGACCAGAACCUGGCCGCCUGACUGGUCCUCUGCCCCUAUAGCCUCCUUCAAUCACCAGUUCCUAUUUUGCAGAUGAGGAAACUGGAUAACAAGUCUUCUCUUUGGAGUUCAACGACUCACAGGAGAAUCUGACUGCAAAGUAGAAAGCAUGGAGUUGGUCUCACGAAAAACUCAAGUUAAUAUUUGUAGAGCACUUACUAUGCAUGCUUGUAUUACAAAGAUUUCAUACAUGCUAAUUUAUGUUAAUCCCCAAACCACCCUGUGAGAUGCGCUUAGCUAUUUCUACCAUCCCUCUUUUCAGGAGGAAAUUAAGGAACGAAGAUCGAAUAACUUCCUAAGACUAUAACUUACAGAGCUGGGAUUUGAACCCAAACAGUCUAGCUCCAGAAUCUGUUCCCUUAGCCAGCACACACACUCAUAAUAAGUGAAGAGGUGAAAGAGACAAACUGUCUUCCAGGUGAAAUUCGAAAGAAUCUGCUCAAACAAUUUGUUACUCCUCUGUGCCCUCCUGUUUCAAAUUCCACAAUUAGUCCCUUGUUCAUUUUAUGGAAGACAUUGUUUCUUUAAAACAUCACUUUCUUUUCUUUUUUCUGGUGAGGAAGAUUGGCCUUGAGCAACAUCUGUGGCAAUCUUCUUCUAUUUGUAUGUGGCCUGUCUUGAUGAGCAAUGUGUUAUGUCGGCCCUGGGAUCCAAACCUGCGAACCCCUGCCACCAAAGGGGAGCUCACAAAGGUAACCACUACUCCACCACCAGCCCCCAAAUAGCACUUUUUAAUGUGCAGAAACUCCUGAGAGGAAUCAACGAUUACCAAAAGCAAUCUUUUUAUAAGAAUAAUUUCUUAGAUUACUACGAUAAGAACUGUAAAGAAAUAGUCCCACCCCCAAAGGAAGGAGAGGGAGUCAUGGGAGGUGAAUGGAGAGAGGGAUAAUUUUGGGAUACGGUGGGGCUGAGACAUGGCAGAGGAGGCCCAUGUGGGACUGGCCCAGUGUGCCACAGGGGGCCACCAGGUGUUGUGAAAGCCCUGCCUGGUGCCCAGUGCUUGGCACAGCCCCUGGCACAGAGCAGCUGCCCAAAAGCUUUGUGGAGUGAAUGGAAACCUGGAUGGAAGUGGGAGCCAAGCACGGAGGCAGACACAAGUACAGUGCUUGGAGGUGAGAGGGCGUCAAGCGAACACUCGACCUACUUUAUAACUUUGCUCCAGGUGGGCGGGAGGAGGACAGCACAGCGCCAGACUUCCGAUCAACAGGCACAGGACCUGGGAGCAAACCAGUCACAGCGUUCCUGAUGUAACUAGGACGACUUGCUUUGGGGAAAUCUGUUUCAUUUUUGUCACCUAUGGUAGCAGCCCCACUUCAGUCUUCUGGCCUAGACUUCCUUUGAUUAAAAGUCCUCAUUCUCCCCCCUAUAGGGUGCCUCAGGGUAGGCCAAGGCCAUCUGGGGACCAGAGCCAGCCUCCUUUGUGCUGGGGCCAGAGGGGGAUCAGCCCCUGGCGGUUUUCUCCGCCUCACCAUCAGGUGCUGACAGCUGAGCUAUUCCUCGCACCCUUGGGGUAAAGAACAGCCGCAAACUAGGGCCGAGUGCAGAGCCUGACAAUUCUUCCCAAGGCUCCGGGGAGCAGCACCCUGGAGGGGCUGUUCGUGCGUUACAUAAGCUGUGUGUCAGCGGUCCUUACCGAUGCGCAGAGCCGCGUGCCUCUCGGAAUUGCGCAACUCUUACGCAGAAGCACUUGUUCAGUGUUGCAACAUGACUCCACAUCUUUAUCAAAAAUGUGAAACAUCCGCCCAGCACACACUUAGAAAACACUAAAGCUCUUCUCCACCAGGUGGUUAAGGCUGCUUGAUCCGGCUGACAGGAGAGAAGCGGCCGCCGGGGGAGGCGGGGGGCCGGACUUACUGUAGCUCUUGGCCGGGGAAGCUGAACACCCAGUACCUUGUACCCCAUUCGCCUUGGGCAGCGUGGACCUCUGAUAAAAUGUACUUUUUUUGUGCUUGUUUUUCCUGGCAGUCUCAUUUUGGGUUAUAAAUGGCUCAUUAUUUCCAUCCCAUAGAUCCAUCCUUUCCUCUCUUGCAUUCUCUUCUUGCUUUCCGGAACGUGGGUAAAAUCAUCGCUGAUGAAGUCUGCAUGUUCUAACCUUGAGCAGAGGCCGAAUCUCCACAUCGCUCAUGCCACCUACAGCUGCUCCCACGUGGGAGAGGUUGGCUGGAAAGGCCCCCAACAGCAGGGCUGUAAUUCUAUUUACACUAAAAUACUCGGUGCCCUUAAAUGCCAGCAAGCGGCACGGACUUCCACUCACUCCAGCCCUGCAACCUUUUCAGAGGACUAUUGGGCAAUCAUCAGAGGUUAUAAAGUUGGAACAGCAUUCUCCCCGGAUAGGUCAUUUUCCCUGCAGAACAGCUUGGAGGCAAAUUUUAUUAAGUAUCAAGUAGCUGACCCAAAGCAGUAUAAAUAGCGAGAGAACAUAUGACAAACCCAGAAGGGACGGUGCUUAAACCCCGGGCUGAGUACGUGUAAUGUGUUUACUGUCGUCAGCACCUGCACGGAGAUAUUCACGCAGCAACCAUCCAGGAAAGGCGUUGAACCGUAGAAAUGCAGUUACUAGGAUUCAAUCUUAGAAAAAUAAUUUCAUCCUAACUUUUGAAAGCUUGCUGACCCCACCGUUAACCCAAGGAAGGUACCCAUGGACAGGUUGGAUGUCAUAAACGUCAUUCACAUAAUGCAACACAGUGUAAACCAUGCUUUAAUGAGGUUGAUCAGGCCACAGAUAAUUGAGUUAUGAGAGACCCCUGAGCUUUCCAAAGCCAGUUUCCUGAACCAGCUGUUUCAUCCGUUCUGUCCCCACUGGCUGGAGCUGUUGACAUUCCAGAAGAUAAUCUUGUGUUCUUACAAUGGUGGGAGGAAGCUCUGGGAAGGAAUGGCGUAAGUUUGAUGUAGAAUGGAAUUUGUUGAGCGUUUCCACUCAGAGACAACAAAUUUCCAAGACGUCGCUGGUCUUGCCUGCAACUGCUGCUUCCUGGACCCCUUGUAAGGAAAGCCUUCUGCUUCAUCAGGAUCUAAAUUCCAAAGCUAUUUUGAAAGGUGGCGGUACUGUGAGUGUCUGACCUCUUUGAAGACAAUGAUAGUCUCUGAAUAUAUCAAUUUUUGUACGUUUAUUAAAAAUCAGUAUCUUUACUUUGUAUCUAGAACCAAGACAAAAAGAGCCGUAGGCUUUCAGAGGCCAGAGGGACCGUGAGGGGCUGACGCAGUCAAGAAGUGCUUCACGGAGUGGGUGGGGCGUACGUGAGGCCCUCUCCUUUUCCCACACUCACCCUCACUCCCGCAAGACUGUUGGCCCCUUACCCAAUGUCCACUCUCCAUUUCUUUCUUAGUGAAAAGAACUCCUACGUGGCCUUGUGCCUAGCUAAAGACUACACCCCCAGCCUGCCUUGCAGUAGGGGUGGCUAAUGAGAUCUAAGGAGAUGUUGUUGGGGGGCAGUGUUGCAGAUAACAUAUGGGUUACCUAGUUAAAUUUGAAUUUCAGAUAAACGAAUCAUUUUUAAUAUAAGUAUGUCCCAUGUAAUACAUUAGUAUUUUUAUUUGCUGAAUCUGGCAACUCUAUGAGUGAGGCUUCUGGGAAGCAAGGAAGGACACUCUUUUUGCCCUUUUCCCUCUUUUCUUUCCUGGGACAUGGAUGGAAGGGCUAGAAUUUCAGCAACCAGCUUGGGUCAUGAGGUUAAGGAUGGCAGAAGAGACAGAAGACUUGGGCCCCUAAUGACUGCAUACCUUCCGACUUGCUUUAUGUUGAGAAUAAACCACUGAUUUCCUUUAGCCACUAAUAGUACCUCUGUUACCUGCACCCCAUUGCUCUUCUACCUGAUAGAGCCAUAAUAGAAAGUGCACUGUUAUUUUUGGUGUUAAGUCUGUUUACCACGUGUCAUCCUCGCCUCUGCCUCUGAUGUAACAUAAACCACUCUACUUUUACUUACUAUAUUUUUUAAGCAACCCAGGAGAGAUGGGUGAGAUUCCCUAAACUCUGGGAAAUGACAGCCCUUAGCAUGAGUUUCUACACAAUGUUAUUGCCUGACUAUUUUGCAAAAAGCGUUUUAGGUAUUUGAUUAAUUGCUUCAGGUAAUUAAUAAUAAUAAUAGUUUUAAAGCAGAACAGUUCUCAUCUCUGCACAGAGAUUUGGCCUGAAAACUUAAGUGCCACGAAAUGAUGUUCUGAAGCUGCAGAACCAUAUUUCAAAACAGCAGAAACCACCUGUGAAUUCUGAUGUUCCACUUUGAGAAAGUUUUCUUUUAUAGUGUGCAAGUCUUCAUUAGCCCUAUAUUGACAGCUUCCCUUUUGUGCUGUAAAGACUGGCUAAGGAUAGUCAUGUGCACAGGUAAAGCUAACUUGCAAAGCCCAUCAAUAAUUCAGGAAUGAUGUGAAAAGCUAAUGCCUUCGGCCUUGUGAGCCGUUUUGAAUGUCCACUGUGAGGCAUUCUGGGAAAUGGAGGGGGUAAUAGAAUUGGCCUCUUUGAAUAUAAGCUUUUAUUUUAUUUAUUUAUUUUUUAUUGCAGUAACAUUGGAUUAUAACAUUAUAUAACUUUCAGGUGUGCAUUGUAAUAUAUUUCGAAUUCUGUGUGGAUUACAUCAUGUUCACCACCCAAAGACUAAUUACAACCUAUGAAUAUAUAAGCUUAACCUAACUGGCUGACCUCGGCUGGUUCUGCAGAGAAAGAGAAUUUCUCUGGGCUGUGAACUGUAGAAAUACCAGCCCUUCCUUUUGCAGUGGAAUCUUUUGAAGGUUAAGUAAUAGUAAAUAAUCAACUAAGAUUUCUCAGAUUGGCUGCAUUUACCUUUCUCUGAAAAAAAUGUUUCCCCAUGAAGACGAAGCAACUUUGGAAUGAGAGCAGUAUUUCCUUUUAGGCCUCCCCACUUCAGACAUUCAGAGAACAAGAUCAGGC
rnacentral:lncRNA from 1 species